GUGCUUGCUUUGGCAGCACAUAUACUUAAAUUGGAAUGGUACAGAGAUUAGCAUGGCCUCUGCACAAGGAUGAUAUGCACAUUUGUGAAGCAUUUUAUAUAUAU